AACAACGUCAACGACAUGUCGUGCAA
rnacentral:sRNA from 1 species